rnacentral:rRNA from 1 species
GACGAACGCUGGCGGCGUGCUUAACACAUGCAAGUCGAGCGGUAAGGCCCUUUCGGGGGUACACGAGCGGCGAACGGGUGAGUAACACGUGGGUGACCUGCCCUCAGCUCUGGGAUAAGCCUGGGAAACCGGGUACUAAUACCGGAUAUGACUCCAUGACGCAUGUUGUGGGGUGGAAAGCCUUGUGCGGCUGAGGAUGGGCCCGCGGCCUAUCAGCUUGUUGGUGGGGUGAUGGCCUACCAAGGCGACGACGGGUAGCCGGCCUGAGAGGGCGACCGGCCACACUGGGACUGAGACACGGCCCAGACUCCUACGGGAGGCAGCAGUGGGGAAUCUUGCGCAAUGGGCGAAAGCCUGACGCAGCGACGCCGCGUGAGGGAUGACGGCCU